ensembl:lncRNA
AUCCUCCUCAACUGAACUGACAGUUUCUAGUCCUCCCUCCUGAGCUCUUCUUCUCUGCCCUCCUGCCUCCUCCUCCUCCUCCCCAAGUUGAAGGGCCUUCCUUUCCUUCCAGCUGUUUGACAGGAACAUUCCCUGUAUCGUGUCCUCCUCCUCCUCUUUGGGGUGCCGUUCAUCUUUUUCUCUUUCUGAGAGCGAUAAAGGCAGAAUGACAGCAAGAAGGAUGGAUAAGGAAGGUAUUUGAAAAGUGUUAUCCUGUUCUCCUCUUUCCCCCAGUAGCACGAGAAAUUAAAUCCAAAUGUGUCCAACUCGAAAGCUUAGCUCACAACCACCAGAUUAUAGACCCCGAUACUACAGAACUAGAGUAGGGUGGACUUGAGAUUGAACCCAGGUUUAUUCCAGCCUCAAAAUCCAAGUCUUUCCGUGAAACCAUUUUUCCUUCUCCUUCCACCCACAGAAAGCACCCCCAGACCCUGUCCCGUCCAGACCCAUCCUGGGACCUCCAUUCUGUACCGUAGCAGGUGCAGAGCCCCAGGACCCUCCAGGCAUAGCAGUGGCAGCACCUUCUUGCUCCCUCCCCAGCAGAGUCCAGGCUGCAUUAGGGGCAGAAACACCUGAGACCUGUCUUUGGGAGCACCUGCGCAUUUGCUCGCCUGCUUCAGAUCUUGAGCGCCUUUUAAUAGGUUUGUUUUAUGGUUGGUUUUAUUCCUCCAACAGUGAGUGGAUUUCAUUUGGCCGUGUAAAGGAGGAAAGGUGGUGUGUGAGCUCAGGCUGAUGUGAAGGAUGCUGAAGUUUUCCACUGGCCUCAAAAAGCUGCUUGAGAAACUUACUCUGCUGCGUUGGUGCAAGCUUUGUUUUAUUUUGUUUUCCCCUCAGCCAGGUAUUCAGAAUAUGUUUCACUCACCUGGAGAGUUGCAUCGUCUUGACAAACACAAGGCAAUUAAGAGACUUCCAGCUGCUCCUGCUGCUACUGUGUAUUCAGGGGGAGGGAGAAAUGAUGGCUGGCCUCUCCAAAGUGCCUUUGCUGCAUUCGUCUGGUUUUCAUGACUCUAAUGUCCCAACUGACUGUGUCUAAGAAGCAAAAGACGUGACUUAGAAAGCUUUCCGUAUUCCUACACCAAGAAAGGUUACAGAAUUUGCCAAGUUCUGAGCUUGACACGGCCUUCUUUUCCUGACAAUCAGGUACUUCUUAAGAACGCAUAUAAUAAUCUGAAGUCUUAGUUUGAUCAAAUAAAAAAUGUAAAAUAGUCCUCCCCCCCCCUUUUUUUUCUUUUUUAUGCUUUUUAGGGUUGUACCUGCAGCAUAUGGAAGUUCCCAGGGCCAGGGGUCAAAUGGAAGCUGCAGCUUUUGGCCUAUGCCAGAGCCACAGCAAUGCCAGAUCUGAGCUCAUCUGCUACCUACACCACAGCUCACGGCAACGCCGGAUCCUUAACCCACUGUGCGGAGCCCGGGGUCAAACCCACAUCCUCGUUGAUACUAGUCGGGUUUGUUUCCGCUGAAACACAAGGGGAAUUCCAAAAUUAGUCCUAUUUAUUUUCAGAUAAUUUUCUUAAGCCUUUACAGUGCCAAAAUAAAAGCUAUUACCACCAGAAGUCAGAAGCCACAUGGAAUGAAUUUGUUCCAAUGGGCUGAAACAUUUCUUUUAAUCUCUGACACACCCUUGUGAUGAGGCAAACAUGAAGAUGAGAAGCAAACUUAAGUCUACUGACAAAUAUAGAAAAUGUUUUGCGUACCGAAUGAGUGUGUCCAUGUUUUUCUGUUUCCAUCUGGAUCCUUUUCAGUGUGAUUGCUUAUUUUUAGGUUGGCAUUUUAGAAGGAAGAUGAAAUGGCUUCAGGAAAUGAUGUGAAAGGUUAAGAAGAUGGAUGAGAAAUAUAAGUCAAGAGCUGUCACGAAGGAAAAUGCGGCCUCACAGUGCUGUGUUCAAUGUAUUUCUUAGAAAAACUAGGUAUCUAUAUUUCUGCUAAAUCUGUAUCCUUGAACCCUGUAAUCUAGAGUAGCUAUGCCAUGGUGUAAAGGAUCGUAAGAGAAAAAUGUGGAACUCCAAGUCACAUAAACGUAGAGGGAGGCAGUGUAACCAAAUAACCAAGGGCAAACAGGUCCCAAACAAGUGGACACUAUUUCAAACACAAAACCUUGGAAUCCAGGAGGAAGAUGGAGGUAUGAACUAGAAAAAGGGGGCAAUGUGGUUAUGUGACAUUGAACCCAAACAGUCCACCCAAACUGAAUUAUAGGAUCUUCAAAACAGGCUUGAGGAAAGGAGCCCUGAGAAGCUGAGUAAAUAUUAGCUGUUUUCCUAACAUUUAGUCUAGAAAGCUUUGUAUUCUGGUGAUGCCUUUUGAAAUCAGUCCCAGUGUAGUUGUUGUUGUCAGUUCUGGCUGGUCUGUAAUUGUGCCAUCAGAUGGGCUCAGGACAGACGAGGGCAGGGAGCACCUCCCCCGCUGCUCAGAUGGCCGUGCUUGUCUCUGAUCUGGCCAGUUCUGCCUGAUCUGACUCCCGAUUAUAGGUUCCCCUUGGGAUUCCCUCCGGACUUCUGAACUGGCUUUGGAAUUGGUUCACCUUUCGCUGACUCUGGGCUCUCUGUCAAGACCUCAGCUCAUAUUCAUCCUUAAAACCUUCCACUACGGACUGAAUUGGUGACUCUCUAAGGCCCUCCCAGUCCCAGCCUGGCUCUAGUCUGCAAAGGAGCCUCAUCUCUGUGGAGCACCCUUGCCCCUGGCGAAAGAGAAGACCAGCAGGAGUUGUAAUUUUCACUUUCUAAGGAUGUGGCCUUUCACACAAUGGGCCUUCUCCUUCCUUGCCAGCACUUCCCUCAGAAGUUGGUCCUAUAAUCUGAUCUGCCAUUAACUGACAUGACCUUUCUGCUCUGACACACAAGGAAGAUGGUCCAAGGUCUACCAGAGGUCUCUUCCCUUUCCUUACGGUCUACCAGAGGUCUCUUCCCUCCUUCCUUCCUUCCUUCCUUCCUUCCUUCCUUCCUUCCUUCCUACCUUCCUUUCCUCCUUCCCAAGCCUUUUCUGGGCUUCUGCUAGGAGCCAAGCACUGUGCUAAGUGCUAGGAUCAUAAAGACACUGUCCCCACCCUCUGUAAAGUCACGUUCCCAUGCCUUCUGCUUUGAAGAAAAAAAGACCAAUCAAGACUACUUGUUUGUAGGAGUUCCCGUGGUGGCACAGUGAUUAACGAAUCCAACUAGGAACGAUGAGGUUGCGGGUUAGGUCCCUGGCCUUGCUCAGUGGGUUAAGGAUCUGGCAUUGCCGUGAGCUGUGGUGUAGGUUGCAGACAUAGGGCUCGGAUCCUGAGUUGCUGUGGCUGUGGUAUAGGCCGGUGGCUACAGCUCUGAUUAGACCCCUAGCCUGGGAACUUCCAUAUGCCGUGAGUGUGACCCUAGAAAAGGCAAAAAGACGAAAAAAUAAAAAAAGACUACUUGUUUAUAGACUUGUUCACCAUUUUGGGGUUUUUGCCUUGGUUUAAAAUGAGGAGGAAGAGGAAUUCAUUUGUUCUUUGCCCCAGACUGGCUACUUAAGUAAAGGCAUUUAAAAAGAGCUUUGGGGGGGAAACUGUCUUAGCUUUAACUUCACCAGCCCAACCUGCAAUCUCCAGAAGAGUUAUUUUUUAAAUCACCAUUAUGCAUGUUUGUAAACUUUUUUAUUUUGAAAUCAUGAUAGAGCACAAGAAUUCACAAAACUGGCUCCUAGAGUCUCUUGAAUCCAACUUCUCCCAAUGGUGACAUCUUAUACGUCUUUGGAACAAUAUUAAAAUCAGGAAACAGACAUUAGGUAGACUAUAGACUUCGAGUUUUCAGCAGUUUUUACAUGCCCUCAUCAUGUGCAUAAACAUGUCUAUUUCUACGCAGUUUGACCCCACAUAAAUUGUAUAUAACCACCAGAACAGUCAGGAAUCAUAACAGUUCCAUCACAAAGAUACUCCCAUGGGCUGCCUUUUAGGGUCACAUCUCCCUGACCCCCUCUGGCCCCUGACAACCACAAAUCUGCUCUACAUCUCUAUAGCUUUUUUUUUUUUUUUAAUUCUGCUGGAGUAUAGUUGACUUACCCUAUCGUAUUGUAAUUUGAGAACAAUUACAAACGUAACCUUUGCAGAUCGCUUUACACAUCACCUUUGCACAUCACUAAGACAACAGCCUUCAGAUCUUUCAAGUUGUUACAUGUACCAUAUAUUUGUUCCUUCUCAUUGCUGAGCAGUAUGCAUUGCAGGGAGAUACCAGAGUUCCUUUAGCCAUUCAGCCAAUGAAGGACAUUUGUAUUGUUUCCAGAUUUUUUUUUUUUUUUACUGAUUUGAAUAAAGCUACUGUGAAUGUUCCUGUAGUUUUUGUGUAAACGUAAGUUUUCAUUUUUCUGGCUUAAAUGCCCAAGAGUGCAAUUAGUAUAUAUGGUAACUAUAUGUUUAGUUUUAAGAGAAAUUUCUUGUUUGUUGCUUUAAAAAAACAAGCUUUAUUGAGGCAUAAUUGACGAACCAUAAACUGUAUGUAUUGAAAGUGUGGGAUUUUAGGCAGUUCCCUUCAUGGCACAGUGGAAAUGAAUCCAACUAGUAUCCAUGAGGAUUCGGGUUUGAUCCCUGGCCUUGCUCGGUGGCUCGGGGAUCCUGUUGCUGUGAGCUGUGGAGGCCAGCAGCUGUAGCUCCGAUUCAACCCCUAGCUUGGGAACUUUCAUAUGUUGUGGGUGCGGCCCUAAAAAAAAAGGAAGUGUGGGAUUUUAUGUUUUGACAAAAGUAUAUAAACUGAAACCAUCACCACAAUAAAGAUAAUAAAUGUAUAUUUUUACCCUCCAAAAGUUUACUCAUGACCUUUGAUAAUCCCUCCCUCCUGCCCUACCUGCCCCUUCAACCCAUCCCACAGCAACCACUGAUCUGCUUCCUGUCAUGAUGGGUUAGUUUUCAUUUUCUAGAAUUUUAUAUAAAUGAGAUCAUGCUUUUUUCGGGAGAUGUCUGGCUUCCUUCACUAAGCAUGAUUAUUUUGAUAUUCAUCCAUGUGUAGCAAUAAUUAACUCAUUUUUAUUAUCAAGUAGUAGUCUGUUCCAUGAAUACACCUGAAUUUCUUUAUCCAUCCCUCUUUUGAUAAAAAUUUGGGGGGUUUAUAGUUUUGGACAUUAUAAGCAAAGCUUUUAUAAACAAUGAUGUGCAAAGUCUAUGUACAGAUAUGUGUCUUUAUUUCUCUAGUGUAAAAUGCCCAAUGGUUGGGUUAUGUGUUAGAAGUGUAUUUAACUUCUUAGGAAACUGCUAAACUGUUUUCCAAAGUUGUCAUAUCAGUUUUGCUUCCCCCUGCAACUGCACAAGAGCCCCACUAGUUCUAUAUCUUUGCCAAAACUUGGUUUAAUCAGUGUUUUUAAUUGUAGACAUUUGAGUAGGCGUGUAUGGUUUUAAAUCCCAUUUCCCUAAUGACUACUGAUUUUGAGCAUGUUUUUGUGUGCUUAUUUGUCAUCUAUAUAUCUUCUGUGGUGAAAUGUCUAUUCCAAUAUUUGCCCUUUUUAAAUUGGGGUGUUUCUUUUCUCUUUAUUAAGUUUUAAGAGUUUCCCAAUCAUCCAUCCAAUUAAAAGUUCUCCCCCACUCUGUCUUUAUAUUUUUAUUGACAAUUAAACUUUGGGUUUUUUUUUUUUUCCUUUCUUUCUUUCUUUCUUUUUUGCUUUUUACGGCUGC